UCCUACGGGAGGCAGCAGUGGGGAAUAUUGCACAAUGGGGGGAACCCUGAUGCAGCGACGCCGCGUGAGUGAAGAAGUAUUUCGGUAUGUAAAGCUCUGUCAGCAGGGAAGAAGAAAGACGGUACCUGACCAAGAAGCCCCGGCUAACUACGUGCCAGCAGCCGCGGUAAUACGUAGGGGGCAAGCGUUAUCCGGAUUUACUGGGUGUAAAGGGAGCGUAGACGGCCAGACAAGUCUGAAGUGAAAAUCCAGCGCUUAACGUUGGAAGUGCUUUGGAAACUGCCGGGCUAGAGUGCAGGAGGGGC
rnacentral:rRNA from 1 species